rnacentral:rRNA from 1 species
GAUGAACGCUGGCGGCGUGCCUAAUACAUGCAAGUCGAGCGAACGGACGAGAAGCUUGCUUUUCUGAUGUUAGCGGCGGACGGGUGAGUAACACGUGGAUAACCUACCUAUAAGACUGGGAUAACUUCGGGAAACUGGAGCUAAUACCGGAUAAUAUUUUGAACCGCAUGGUUCAAAAGUGAAAGACGGUCUUGCUGUCACUUAUAGAUGGAUCCGCGCUGCAUUAGCUAGUUGGUAAGGUAACGGCUUACCAAGGCAACGAUGCAUAGCCGACCUGAGAGGGUGAUCGGCCACACUGGAACUGAGACACGGUCCAGACUCCUACGGGAGGCAGCAGUAGGGAAUCUUCCGCAAUGGGCGAAAGCCUGACGGAGCAACGCCGCGUGAGUGAUGAAGGUCUUCGGAUCGUAAAACUCUGUUAUUAGGGAAGAACAUAUGUGUAAGUAACUGUGCACAUCUUGACGGUACCUAAUCAGAAAGCCACGGCUAACUACGUG